rnacentral:rRNA from 1 species
UGAGCAAUCUGCCCUUCACAUCGGAAUAACCAUUGGAAACGAUGGCUAAUGCCGAAUAUGACUUCGGAUCGCAUGAUCUGAAGUGGAAAGCUCCGGCGGUGAAGGAUGAGCUCGCGGCCUAUCAGCUUGUUGGUGAGGUAAUAGCUCACCAAGGCGAUGACGGGUAGCCGGCCUGAGAGGGUGACCGGCCACACUGGGACUGAGACCAGCCCA